UGUGUCCUUUGUCUGUUCUUUUUGAUUUAGUGUUUGUUAAUUUUUUUUUGUUUUGGGGGUCUGUUUUCUACAAACGGUGGAUUUUUAAGGCCUUGUUAAAGCUGUUUUUGUAUCAUUUAGGGCAGAUGAGGCUUGUUGUUAUUAAUUUUAUUUUUCUUUUGCUAAAUCAUCUGUUUUCUUUCUCAGGUUUUAGCCUGGAAAUAUUAAGUGCUUAGUAUAGGCUUUGCAUUUUAAGGCCAUUAAAAAUAAGGGAUUCCAUAGAAGAAGAUGCUUGGCAGCCAGGAGAAGCAGCUCAUGUUUCUUCUUAUUUUUUUUUAUCUUAAGUGAAGAGUGUAGGGCAUAUAGUAAGAUGAACAGAGAUUUGUUACUGUCUCAAUAGAUAACUCCUUUAAACAGUGAUGUUAGACUAAGUACUUUACUAGUCUUUGUUCUGAGCCCAUCACUAGUUUUUCUUAGAAUUCAGGAUACUUUUAGUAACUGCUACCUGUUCCUUGGGUUCCUUAUCUGUGGACUGUUAGCACUUCCCAAAAUGCAGCUGCUCCUCCCCCCCAGUCUGCUUCCGGAUAGAAAUAUGAUGCUUUAAUGUCCAAGAAGAGCAUGGGCUGCAGGUGAAGGCCAGGGAAACUGCUCUGAUGUUGUGAUCACCAACCUCUGAUAAUGGCUGGAGGAAGAUGAGCUGAUGGUGGCAGCGAGCUGUGGAGCAACAAAACAGGCAGAGCUGGAGCAAAUUGAGUGUCGAAGAUUCCCAAGUGAUUUGUCGGCUGGUUUGUCAUUCUCAGCAGAAGCCCCUUUGACACCGCUGCAUAGAAAUAAGGAAAGCAGAUCUCAGUGCGGAGUGACCUCUGUCUCUUGUUCUGGAUGCUGUGGAAAUGAAGAUGUUUGCACACAGGUUAAUUAGAGCAGGCCCAAACUGACAGGACCUGGUGGGACUGCUGCAGGGUAAAUUUGCACCCACAAGUUUGAGGUGUUGUGCUGUGAUUGCAGACAUGAGAGAGUCAAAAUAAAAGAAGCACUGUUGCAGCUAA